UUCCCUACGGGUGGCAGCAGCUAAGAAUAUUCCGCAAUGGACGAAAGUCUGACGGAGCGACGCCGCGUGGAUGACGAAGGCCGAAAGGUUGUAAAGUCCUUUUGUCGAUGAAGAAUAAGCGGUGGAGGGAAUGCCAUCGUGAUGACGUUAGUCGGCGAAUAAGCCCCGGCUAAUUACGUGCCAGCAGCCGCGGUAACACGUAAGGGGCGAGCGUUGUGCGGAAUUAUUGGGCGUAAAGGGUACGUAGGCGGGUCUGUAAGCCCGGCGUGAAAUCCUGCAGCUUAACUGUAGAGCUGCGCUGGGAACUGCGGAACUUGAGUCAUGGAAGGGAAGUUAGAAUUCCAGGUGUAGGGGUGAAAUCUGUAGAUAUCUGGAAGAAUACCGGUGGCGAAGGCGAACUUCUGGCCAAUGACUGACGCUGAGGUACGAAAGUGCGGGGAGCAAACAGGAUUAGAUACCCCGGUAGUC
rnacentral:rRNA from 1 species